AGUGAAGCGGCAACAGCUCAAAUUUGAAAUCUGGCGCCUUCGGUGCCCGAGUUGUAAUUUGUAGAGGGUAGCUCGAGCCCGCCCCCGUCUAAGUCCCCUGGAACGGGGCGUCGUAGAGGGUGAGAAUCCCGUAUGCGACGGGGUGGCGCGCUCGUGUGAGCUCCCUUCGACGAGUCGAGUUGUUUGGGAAUGCAGCUCUAAAUGGGAGGUAAAUUCCUUCUAAAGCUAAAUACCGGCCAGAGACCGAUAGCGCACAAGUAGAGUGAUCGAAAGAUGAAAAGCACUUUGGAAAGAGAGUUAAAAAGCACGUGAAAUUGUUGAAAGGGAAGCGCUCACGACCAGACUCGGGCGCGGCUGCUCAGCCGGUCUUCUGACCGGUGUAUCGGUCGCGCCCGGGCCAGCAUCGGUUCGGGCGGUCGGAUAAAGGCCCCGGGAACGUAGCUCCCCUCGGGGAGUGUUAUAGCCCGGGGCGCAAUGCGGCCUGCCCGGACCGAGGAACGCGUUCGCUAGGAUGCUGGCGUAAUGGUCGUUAGCGGCCCGUCUUGAAACACGGACCAAGGAGUCUACCAUCUGUGCGAGUAUUAGGGUGUCAAACCCUUGUGCGUAAUGAAAGUGAACGGAGGUGGGAACCCUCGGGUGCACCAUCGACCGAUCCAGAUGUCCUCGGACGGAUUUGAGUAAGAGCACCGCUGGUGGGACCCGAAAGAUGGUGAACUAUGCGCGGAUAGGGUGAAGCCAGAGGAAACUCUGGUGGAGGCUCGCAGCGGUUCUGACGUGCAAAUCGAUCGUCA
rnacentral:rRNA from 1 species